AUGCUAAUCGCAUUGGCAUCAGCAGCUGCAACCUUGCUCUUUCCGUGUAUUUAUGUGCUAAUAAGGCAUAGAAAGGGGCAAAGACUAUGGCUUCUCCUUUGCAAGAAGACUAGCAGCAAGAAUGAAAAUAAUUACGAGGCCAUGAUAGCAUCGUAUGGAUCCCUAGCUCCAAAAAGAUACAUCUACUCAGAGAUAAUGAAGGUAACAUCUUCUCGCAACUAUGAGCUUGGAAAAGGUGGUUAUGGUGUGGUUUUCAAAGGAAGACUACAUGAUGGCCGUCUUGUUGCCGUGAAAUUCUUGCAUGACUGCAAAGGAAACGGAAGCGAGUUUGUGAAUGAGGUUAUGAGCAUUGGCAGGACCUCUCAUGUUAAUGUUGUUAGCUUAUUUGGGUUUUGUUUGGAGGGUUCAAAACGAGCUCUUAUAUAUGAGUACAUGUCCAAUGAUUCCUUGGAUAAGUACAUUUACUCAGAGAAUCCCAAAGAAAUUUUAGGAUGGGAGAAGCUUUGUGGUAUAGCAAUUGGGAUUGCUCGUGGCCUCGAAUACUUGCACCAUAGUUGUAAUACACGCAUCGUCCAUUUCAAUAUCAAGCCUCAAAAUAUCCUGCUAGACAUGGAUUUUAGCCCCAAAAUUGCUGAUUUUGGUCUAGCUAAAUUGUGUCAUACGAAAGAGAGUAAAGUUUCAAUUACUGGGGCUAGAGGAACAAUUGGAUUCAUCGCUCCAGAAGUUCACUCUCGAACCUUUGGAGUGGUUUCGACAAAGUCAAAUGUUUAUAGUUAUGGAAUGAUGUUGCUGGAGAUGGUUGGAGGCAGGAGAAAUGUAAAAUCAAUUGUUCAAAAUUCCAGCGAAAAGUAUUUCCCAGAUGGGAUUUAUGACCACUUUGCUGAAGAUGAAGCUUUACAGGCAUGUGAUGUAACAGGUGAAACUGCAGAGAUAGCCAGAAAGGUGACCAUAAUUGGCAUGUGGUGCAUACAAGUACUACCUAUGUAUCGCCCCACUAUAACAAGAGUUCUAGAAAUGUUCGAGAGAAGAUUAGAUGAACUGGACAUGCCACCAAAGCAAAACUUUGGUGACCUAGUUGAAAGUUCAGCUCACAAUAUGGAUGUACAAAGUGCAAGUUCCAAUAGUACCAGAUCUGAGAAGAUAAGCCCCGUGAGUUCAAAGAUCCUACAACGGCUGCCAACUCUUUGA
rnacentral:rRNA from 1 species